GAAAGAAAGCAUCGCCUUCAUGAUGGCUUUAUUUGGACAUUUUCUCAACCUCAAACAGUGUUCCUUGAACACAUAUGGAGAAGUAGAUCCCAGUGGCAAAUGGGAGAACUGUGAUAAAUAUGAAGACACACCACCCAGAUCCUUCAAAGAAAGACUUGCUGAAGGGAGUACGGUCAGCAGACAGCCUCCACUAUCUACUCCUUCAGAGCUGGCCUCAGCUACGACAAACUGCUUCUUGUGCAUCCAGGGAUUGAACAAGGCAGGGGAGUAAAGGUCUAGCCAUUUUGCCGGAACACUGGACACCUUAAUGAGCAAUGCUCUCUCCAGAGCUCCAUGCCAAGUUAGCCAAAGCUUCACUGGGCCUGUAUCACAGUUUGAUUUCUUCCUCUACCCAAUCCUUCUUACUUCCUCCUCUCUUUACAGACACUGAUCUGUAAUAAACAUCUUGCUCACUAAA